GCCAAUAUAUAUCAACCAACAAAGUGUCGUCACAGUUAGUCGGGCGUGUGUUGCUAAAUAACAACGGGUUGAUCAAAUGCUAUUUAUACAAUAUGAAAACACAUGUCACCAUCAGGUAUGACAAUUCCAUGAUUUUUGACUGUGCAGAACAAACAAUGACGAACUUCCUUCAUGCUUUCCUCCUCUCUUUGCUUCCUUUCACCACAAUGUUUAUCUCACUGUACAAGACUUAUUAGAGAGCAAAUCUUCUCCAAGCCUUUGUCCUGCGAAAUGAGACACAUGCACAAAGGUGUAAUUGUUAGUAGUGUACAUGUAUAUGGUUAAUAAAUUCCUCAUAUCUUCACUGGUGAAAUAUGAAUGCUUCCAACUUGUGAGAAAUAGUAAGAUUGAAAUCCAUAAAUGAUUUAGUGUGCUAGUACUGGCAAAAAACAUUUGAAGCUACAUCUGGACGAUUAGUUUACAUACAGAGUGAUUUCAUACUCCACUGUUGUUGUCAGAGCUUAUUUCAUUUCCC
rnacentral:lncRNA from 1 species